GACGAACGCUGGCGGCGCGCCUAACACAUGCAAGUCGAACGAGCGAGCGAGAGCUUGCUUUCUCGAGCGAGUGGCGAACGGGUGAGUAACGCGUGAGGAACCUGCCUCAAAGAGGGGGACAACAGUUGGAAACGACUGCUAAUACCGCAUAAGCCCACGACCCGGCAUCGGGUAGAGGGAAAAGGAGCAAUCCGCUUUGAGAUGGCCUCGCGUCCGAUUAGCUAGUUGGUGAGGUAACGGCCCACCAAGGCGACGAUCGGUAGCCGGACUGAGAGGUUGAACGGCCACAGUGGGACUGAGACACGGCCCAGACUCCUACGGGAGGCAGCAGUGGGGAAUAUUGCAAAAUGGGGGAAACCCUGAUGCAGCGACGCCGCGUGGAGGAAGAAGGUCUUCGGAUUGUAAACUCCUGUUGUUGAGGAAGAUAAUGACGGUACUCAACAAGGAAGUGACGGCUAACUACGUG
rnacentral:rRNA from 1 species